rnacentral:rRNA from 1 species
UACAGAGGGUGCAAGCGUUAUCCGGAAUGAUUGGGCGUAAAGCGUCCGCAGGUGGCUGUGUAAGUCUGCUGUCAAAGAGCGAAGCUCAACUUCGUAAAGGCAGUGGAAACUACACGGCUAGAGUGCGUUCGGGGCAGAGGGAAUUCCUGGUGUAGCGGUGAAAUGCGUAGAGAUCAGGAAGAACACCGGUGGCGAAGGCGCUCUGCUAGGCCGCAACUGACACUGAGGGACGAAAGCUAGGGGAGCGAAUGGG